rfam:Triticum aestivum genome assembly, contig: Triticum_aestivum_CS42_TGACv1_scaffold_274240_3DS
AACAUACUCCCUCCGUCCCAAAAUUAUUGUCUAUAGAUUUGUCUAAAUACGGAUGUAUCAAGUCACGUUUUAGUAUUAGAUACAUCCAUAUCUAGACAAAUCUAACACAAGAAUUUUGGGACGGAGGGAGUAUAUU